rnacentral:rRNA from 1 species
UGGGGGAUAUUGCACAAUGGGCGAAAGCCUGAUGCAGCGACGCCGCGUGGGGGAUGAAGGCCUUCGUGUUGUAAACUUCUUUUGCUCUGAACAAGGCAUGCUAAUGGGUGUGUUGAGUGUAGGGGUUGAUUAGCGCCGGCUAACUACGUGCCAGCAGCCGCGGUAAUACGUAGGGCGCGAGCGUUGUCCGGAAUUAUUGGGCGUAAAGGGCUUGUAGGUGGCUGGUUGCGUCUGUCGUGAAAGCUCAUGGCUUAACUGUGGGUUUGCGGUGGGUACGGGCGGGCUUGAGUGCAGUAGGGGAGGCUGGAAUUCCUGGUGUAGCGGUGGAAUGCGCAGAUAUCAGGAGGAAUACCGGUGGCGAAGGCGGGUCUCUGGGCUGUUACUGACACUGAGGAGCGAAAGCAUGGGGAGCGAACAGG